UGGAUAACAGGUAGUUACCACUGGUGUGGGC
rnacentral:piRNA from 1 species